rnacentral:rRNA from 1 species
GCAGUCUGCAACUCGAGUGCAUGAAGCUGGAAUCGCUAGUAAUCGCGGAUCAGAAUGCCGCGGUGAAUACGUUCCCGGGUCUUGUACACACCGCCCGUCACACCAUGGGAGUCGGGAAUGCCCGAAGCCGGUGGCCCAAUCUGUAAAGAAGGGAGCCGUCGAAGGCAGGCCGGAUGACUGGGGUGAAGUCGUAACAAGGUAAC